rnacentral:rRNA from 1 species
CAGUAGCCGCGGGAAAACGGAGGGUGCAAGCGUUAAUCGGAAUUACUGGGCGUAAAGCGCACGCAGGCGGUCUGACAAGUCAGAUGUGAAAUCCCCGGGCUUAACCUGGGAACUGCAUUUGAAACUGUCAGGCUGGAGUCUUGUAGAGGGGGGUAGAAUUCCAGGUGUAGCGGUGAAAUGCGUAGAGAUCUGGAGGAAUACCGGUGGCGAAGGCGGCCCCCUGGACAAAGACUGACGCUCAGGUGCGAAAGCGUGGGGAGCAAACAGGAUUAGAUACCCCAGUAGUCCCUGUCUCUUAUAA